ensembl:lncRNA
AAAGAAAUGAGAAGCUGCACUGAGUUACCAUCUACCAUGUUUUAGCCACAUCCUGCAGUGGAACUUGACCAUGAGAGCCAGCCUGAUAUGUGCAAAAACAGGUGGAAAAUGUUCUCUGAGCUCCUGCAUUUGAGAAGCCAUUUUCCAGCUCUUGGCAUUCAUGCUGUUAAAAGAAGAGUUCCAGCUACCACUGGCAGGGUGAUGUGUGACCUUCAUGUCUUCCUGAGCGUACCACCUGCAUAUUUCAUUAACUACACAGGUUUUGGCAUCCUGCGGAGGAACAAAUUGCCUUUUUUUUCCCAACACG